AAAGUCGUAACAAGGUAACCGUAGGUGAACCUGCGGUUGGAUCAUUAAUAAAUUUAGAGACUUGGUCUCUGCGAUUGACUCUCGGGUCAGUUACACACCUUUGUGCAAUGUUUUGGGGAGUCUGACUCUUCAAUUACACUUUAAUCUAGUCUGAAGAAAUUCUUAAAUUAAAAUUACAACUUUUAACAACGGAUCUCUUGGCUCUC
rnacentral:misc_RNA from 1 species